rnacentral:rRNA from 1 species
AACGCUAGCUACAGGCUUAACACAUGCUAGUCGAGGGGAAACGACAUCGAAAGCUUGCUUUUGAUGGGCGUCGACCGGCGCACGGGUGAGUAACGCGUAUCCAACCUGCCCACCACUUGGGGAUAACCUUGCGAAAGUAAGACUAAUACCCAAUGAUAUCUCUAGAAGACAUCUGAAAGAGAUUAAAGAUUUAUCGGUGAUGGAUGGGGAUGCGUCUGAUUAGCUUGUUGGCGGGGUAACGGCCCACCAAGGCGACGAUCAGUAGGGGUUCUGAGAGGAAGGUCCCCCACAUUGGAACUGAGACACGGUCCAAACUCCUACGGGAGGCAGCAGUGAGGAAUAUUGGUCAAUGGACGAGAGUCUGAACCAGCCAAGUAGCGUGCAGGAAGACGGCCCUAUGGGUUGUAAACUGCUUUUAUAAGGGAAUAAAGUGAGUCUCGUGAGACUUUUUGCAUGUACCUUAUGAAUAAGGACCGGCUAAUUCCGUGCCAGCAGCCGCGGUAAUACGGAAGGUCCGGGCGUUAUCCGGAUUUAUUGGGUUUAAAGGGAGCGUAGGCCGGAGAUUAAGCGUGUUGUGAAAUGUAGACGCUCAACGUCUGCACUGCAGCGCGAACUGGUUUCCUUGAGUACGCACAAAGUGGGCGGAAUUCGUGGUGUAGCGGUGAAAUGCUUAGAUAUCACGAAGAACUCCGAUUG